rnacentral:rRNA from 1 species
UACGUAGGGUGCAAGCGUUAAUCGGAAUUACUGGGCGUAAAGCGUGCGCAGGCGGUCUUGCAAGACAGAUGUGAAAUCCCCGGGCUCAACCUGGGAACUGCAUUUGUGACUGCAAGGCUGGAGUACGGUAGAGGGGGAUGGAAUUCCGCGUGUAGCAGUGAAAUGCGUAGAUAUGCGGAGGAACACCGAUGGCGAAGGCAAUCCCCUGGACCUGUACUGACGCUCAUGCACGAAAGCGUGGGGAGCGAACAGG